rnacentral:misc_RNA from 1 species
AAGUCGUAACAAGGUCUCCGUUGGUGAACCAGCGGAGGGAUCAUUACAGAGUUAUCUAACUCCCAAACCCAUGUGAACUUACCAUUGUUGCCUCGGCAGAACCUACCUGGUACCUACCCUGUAACGACCUACGCUGUAGCGAGUUACCCGAGAAGACCUACCCUGUAGUGCGCUGCCGGUGGACUUCUUAACUCUUGUUAUUUUAUAGUAAUCUGAGCGUCUUAUUUUAAUAAGUCAAAA